rnacentral:rRNA from 1 species
CCGUCUUGAAACACGGACCAAGGAGUCUAACAUGUGCGCGAGUCAUUGGGUCACACUAAACCUAAAGGCGCAAUGAAAGUGAAGGCAGCCUCGGGUUUGCCUAGGUAGGAUCCUUUUUUCUCUUUUGAGAGGAGGCGCACUACCGGCCCGUCUCGUCCGCGUUGCGGUGAGGCGGAGCGAGAGCGUACACGUUGGGACCCGAAAGAUGGUGAACUAUGCCUGAGUAGGACGAAGCCAGAGGAAACUCUGGUGGAAGUCCGUAGCGAUUCUGACGUGCAAAUCGAUCGUCGAACUUGGGUAUAGGGGCGAAAGACUAAUCGAACCGUCUAGUAGCUGGUUCCUUCCGAA